rnacentral:rRNA from 1 species
AAGAGACAGCAGUAGCCGCGGUAAUACGGAGGGGGCUAGCGUUGUUCGGAAUUACUGGGCGUAAAGCGUAUGUAGGCGGCUUUGUAAGUUAGAGGUGAAAGCCCGGGGCUCAACCCCGGAACUGCCUUUAAGACUGCAUCGCUUGAAUCGUGGAGAGGUGAGUGGAAUUCCGAGUGUAGAGGUGAAAUUCGUAGAUAUUCGGAAGAACACCAGUGGCGAAGGCGGCCAUCUGGGACAACACUGACGCUGAGGCACGAAAGCGUGGGGAGCAAACAGGAUUAGAUACCCCCGUAGUCCCUGUCUCUUAUAC